UACGGGGGGGGCAAGCGUUGUUCGGAAUUACUGGGCGUAAAGGGUUCGUAGGUGGCCAAUUAAGUCAGACGUGAAAUCCCUCAGCUUAACUGGGGAACUGCGUCUGAGACUGGAUGGCUUGAGUGCAGGAGAGGAACGCGGAAUUCCAGGUGUAGCGGUGAAAUGCGUAGAUAUCUGGAGGAACACCGGUGGCGAAGGCGGGUCUCUGGGCAGUAACUGACGCUGAGGAGCGAAAGCGUGGGGAGCGAACAGG
rnacentral:rRNA from 1 species